rnacentral:snoRNA from 1 species
UGAUAAUGGUGAGGGCAAAUUCUGAGCAUACUCUUAAAUCUCUCCCAAGCUUGGUUGAGAUUCUCUCCUUCUUUCUACCUAAAACUCAGAAUCUCACUUCUCAAAUG